rnacentral:rRNA from 1 species
CAGUAGCCGCGGUAAUACGUAGGUGGCAAGCGUUGUCCGGAAUUAUUGGGCGUAAAGGGCUCGCAGGCGGUUUCUUAAGUCUGAUGUGAAAGCCUCCGGCUCAACUGGGGAGGGUCAUUGGAAACUGGGAAGCUUGAGUGCAGAAGAGGAGAGUGGAAUUCCACGUGUAGCGGUGAAAUGCGUAGAGAUGUGGAGGAACACCAGUGGCGAAGGCGACUCUCUGGUCUGUAACUGACGCUGAGGAGCGAAAGCGUGGGGAGCGAACAGGAUUAGAUACCCCGGUAGUCCCUGUCUCUUAUAA